GCAUACUCAUCAGCUGUGAUCAGCUGGCCUACUUGUUUGGGAAGUCUGCUCAAGGCCGGAGUCCAAUCUGAAUUGUGUGUGAAAGACGGAAUAAAUGUGAGGCCUUUCAUGAGCAGGGAUGACUGUGAGGGAGAGAGAGUAAAGUGUUUGGAAAGAUUCACAACAAGCCUGUGUGCACCCUUUCUCGGGUGUUCACUCACUGCAAGUUUAAAUAUCGUGCCCAGUGUUCCAACAUGUUCCUGGCUGUCUCUGCAGUCCAGUGCAGGCCGUCACUCUCUACCUGAAACUGAUCCUCUGGCAGGAGGGGGAUGAAGGAAUAAUUUUCCUCUAUGUAAUUGUUCAAUUCAUCUAAAAAUAUUUUUUCUCCUUCUGGGAGAGAUUGGGGGAUAUUGAUCAGGGGGAUCCACAGUUGGGCCUCUGGCAGUCUCUCUUGUGCCACCUGACUCAAUCUGGCACACUCUCUCAUCGCUGAGAUGCGUAAUCUUUGUGUGCGGUUAUUCAGGCCGAAUGCCAAGACUAUUUUUUCUACUUGUGUGUCUACUGUAGCUUUUUCUAUCAGAUUGGCCGCGUGCUGCAAUUUAGCCCCUGGAAAACUGUCAAUCUGUAAAUCAGGAAUGUCAAAAGCAGGAAUCCUGCUCAAAUUGGAGUCCCCGAUGACCACGUGUUUCUCUUUGAGUGCCAGUUUCCACUCAUUGAACUUCUUGUUAGUUCUAAGAGAUAAUGUUUUCCAUUUUUUUGGAAGUUUCCCCCCUCUCUGUCUCCUGAGGAGCCCCUGGUUGAAGAGAUGUCACAGAAUAUUCUGAAAAAUCAAAGUCUGAGAGAUUUGGUGACCCUGACGGAUUUUGGAAGAUCUGGGCACUCUCAGCUGUGUCCCUUAGAGGAUUUACUCUAUGUACUGCAUUGGCUACAAUGGGGACCAGAGAAGGCAGGCCUGUGGUUAUCGGGGCCUCAGCCUCAGAGGGGGCAAAAGGAGAGAAAAGUUCCUGUGACAGCUGACCCGUAAACUCAUCUAAAUCAUCCAGUCUGUCACCCUGUGCAGGAGUUAACUGAUCCUCCUCCUCAUCAUCAUCAUCAAAACUCACUAAGAGAUUUUUCUCAGCUUGUUCUGUAACGACUGGUGGAGUUUUUGGUCUCUGUUCUGUCAGGUGUUUUUUCUUUUCUGGUCUUUUCCCCUUAGGAGACUGUAUAGGGGCCUGUAUAGGGGCCUGUACAGGAGGGUUCAGAGGUGGAAAAUCAUCUCCCAGAAGCCAGUCGUUCCUCAUAGGAGACCAGCCUGACAUUAAAGUGGGCGAUGUUUGUAUCUGGAUGUGUGUGACCCCUGUCUUAGGUCUGACGACCCCUGUGUUGACCGUUUCUGUCCCCUGCUGAGCUGAGGCUAGAUCUGCACCACUAACCACCUGAGCAAAUGUUCUGUUGCUACUGGUUUCAGAAUUCGAUGGUACUCUAGACCCGGAUGGAGUCCCAGAACGCAAUUCGGUCAGGACCAAAGUUUCGGCCUGCUGAAUUGCCCUCUGGGAGAUCCUUUUGCCAAAAUUUCUCAUCGCCCAUUUUACAGCGAUCUCAAAAGCGUGUAACCAGUCUUUUCUCUGUGUCUCUCCCCGUAAGAUCCCCAGUGUGUGCUUUAUGAUAUCCUCAUAAUGUUGCUGUAACACCAACUGUGUCGUAAACGCCCAGUUCUUUGCAUUACCCUCCAGCAAUUCUUUUGUGGACAUUGUGGGGGCAAAGGGUUUGAUCACACUUUUAAGAAGCUCUGUUAACCUUUUAAGAGUGACAGGCUGGUUAUCUUCUAUCCGUGUGUCAAUAUUACUGAGGUGAUGGACAGAUCUGAUCAGAUGAUACAUAUUCUUAAUAAUUCUCCGAAAAGUGGGAGAAGCAGGAGAGUAUUCUGUAUUUUUUUGUGAAUCAAAGUGAGUUUUUUGGCCCAUUCUUUUUUUCUGGUGAACAUAUUUUUGUGCAAACUGGCCAUUCUCACGUCUCCUGUUCUUUUCUACAUUACGAGGAGAAUAUUGUGUGUUUCUGUAUCUCUGGUCAGUAAACCUGUUCUGUUCAGUGGGGUAAAAAAUCCUAUUUUGCCCAAAAGUCACUCUCUUUUGUUUGGGUUUAAAUCCCCGAUUUAAAGGGCGUCGAUCACGUGACUGACGACGGAAAGGAUUUACAGUAUUCUCCGAUCGAGUUUCAUUCUGUACUCUGUUACUGUAACCCGCGAGUGAUUCUCCGUGUCUGAUGACCUCAUAUGGGAAGUCACGAGAUCGCUCGACAAAAUAAUCGUCCCUCAUAAAUCGUCCCCGUCUGGGGAAAUCCCUGUUAUCUGUGUGAGGGAUCAGACGCGCUCGAGGGGUCGUGAAACGACCCUUGUUCUGAAAAACGAACACCAUCCUUAUUUUACUGAACGAUCAAAUCCACAACUGUGUAUUCUUUUAAUCUUUUAUUCUAUUUCUGAAAAUGAAAAAAAAUGUUUUUUUUGUCCUUUUAUAUUUUUUUAAC